rnacentral:tRNA from 2 species
AUUAAGAUGGCAGAGCCCGGUUAAUUGCAAAAGGCCUAAGCCCUUUCCGCCGGAGGUUCAAGUCCUCCUCUUAAUU